rnacentral:rRNA from 1 species
CCUACGGGAGGCAGCAGUGGGGAAUCUUGCACAAUGGGCGCAAGCCUGAUGCAGCGACGCCGCGUGAGGGAUGACGGCCUUCGGGUUGUAAACCUCUUUCGACUCAGACGAAGCGCAAGUGACGGUAUGAGUAGAAGAAGCACCGGCUAACUACGUGCCAGCAGCCGCGGUAAU